AGGGCCAGUCAGGGGUGCCCAGCCAGAUUGGUGUGCCCUUUGCCUCCACCCCACAUGAGGCCAGGAAAGAGCCAGAGCACAUGUCCGGGUCCUGGAAGCAGGCAGCUGCCUUUUUGGCUUGUUUUGAAGCAAUCAGAACUUAAUCGCUUGUGACCCUGAAGGAGAACUUCACCCAUGGAAAGCAACUGUCCCAGAAACUUGGUGUGUGCGCACAGGAAUCCAGAUGUUCCUCUUAGGAGAGCAGAGGAGACCCCCAAUGUCCCUAACCAGCUCUGCAUACACAGGGACAGGUCAGUCAUCAUCCGCAGUUUUACCUGGAGUCUUCACGGACCGCUUCUUCUGGCCUGUCAAAAAGCAAGUGCAGGUUUGGAUGGCAGGGAACAAAGUUGACGAGGAGGCUGAACACUGCAUGAAGAGAGGACCAAGCCAAUGAGAGAACAACGGCAGCAACAGAAAACCAAACAAACCCUGCCACAGACCUGAUGGGGGAUGAGUCGCUGGACGUGGAUGAGGUGGGCAUAGGGCUGGAUGGUGCCGAGAACAUGGGCCAUGAUGGCGAGAGGGGUGAAGUUGGGCUUGGAUUCGGGGGGCUGCAAGACAUAACAACCAGAAAACUCAUCAGCACAUAGGGAAGCCACGAUGGGAGCACAGGCGGUU
rnacentral:lncRNA from 1 species